AAGUCGUAACAAGGUUUCCGUAGGUGAACCUGCGGAAGGAUCAUUAAAGAAUUUGAAUGAGAUGCAAUUGAAUAUCUUGGAUUUGGGGUUAAACGCUUCAAAUUCCUUGGUUUCAUUGCAUUUCUUUAAUAUUCAUACACACACUAACAUGGGAAACCGUGUAAGUGUUACUAUUUAGAAUCAUUUUUUGUAUAACAUUAGUCUUUAUCUUUUUUUUUUUUCUCGAGUUUUUUCAUGAACUUGAUUAAAAUAAAUAAAAAACAAAUUAACAACUUUCAGCAACGGAUCUCUUGGCUCUC
rnacentral:misc_RNA from 1 species